UUCCCCUAGUAACUGCGAGUGAAGAGGGAAAAGCUCAAAUUUGAAAUCUGGUGGUUCUUGUGACCAUCCGAGUUGUAAUUUAGAGAAGUGUUACCCGCGCUGGACCGUGUACAAGUCUCCUCGAACGGAGCAUCAUAGAGGGUGAGAAUCCCGUAUAUGACACGGACUCCCAGGGCUUUGUGGUGCGCUCUCAACGAGUCGAGUUGUUUGGGAAUGCAGCUCUAAAUGGGUGGUAAAUUCCAUCUAAAGCUAAAUAUAGGCGAGAGACCGAUAGCGAACAAGUACCGUGAGGGAAAGAUGAAAAGAACUUUGGAAAGAGAGUUAAACAGUACGUGAAAUUGUUGAAAGGGAAACGCUUGAAGUCAGUCGCGUCUCUCAGAGAUCAACCUGGCCUUUUCGCUUGGUGCACUCUCUGUGGGAUGGGUCAGCAUCAAUUUUGACUGGGGGAAAAAGUUGGUGGGGAUGUGGCACCCUUGUGGUGUGUUAUAACCUGCUUGCAUAUACCUCUGUUGGGAUUGAGGAACUCAGCACGCCUAAAGGCCGGACUUUAGUCACGUACGUGCUUAGGAUGCUGGCAUAAUGUCUUCAAUCGACCCGUCUUGAAACACGGACCAAGGAGUCUAACAUGCGCGCGAGUGUUUGGGUGAAAAACCCAAGUGCAUAAUGAAAGUGAAAGUUGAGACCUCUGUCGUGGAGGGCAUCGACGCCCGGAUCAGAUCUUUUGGGACGAUUCCGAGGUAGAGCGUGCACGUUGGGACCCGAAAGAUGGUGAACUAUGCUUGAAUAGGGUGAAGCCAGAGGAAACUCUGGUGGAGGCUCGUAGCGAUUCUGACGUGCAAAUCGAUCGUCGAAUUUGGGUAUAGGGG
rnacentral:rRNA from 1 species